CAGCCGGGUGUCCCGCGGGGGAGAGCCCUCGAGGGCCCCGCUGACCGCUCGAGAGAGCCCCGCGCUCCUUCCCACAGUGACCCGAGCAGCUUUCCCCCGGUUCCCGACGGGGCUCGGCCUGCGGGGGCAUCCUGCCAGCUCUCCGGGUGGCAAAGGGGUGAUUCCCAUGGGGAAAGGGCUCUCCAUGGCACUGCGGAUGGCCUUGUGAAGCAGGUUUUUCCUGCAUCUGGGAAUUAGGACUCUGGGUGGUAAAUGGUAGGAAUCAGCAUAUGGGAGCCUUCUCAGCAGCUGGUUCCUGCUGUUCCCAGGAAAGGUGAUGCAUCUGCAAGUCCAGUGCAGGAGUGCAGGCUGAGCUCCAGGUGAAACACAACAGUUUUGGGGCAGCUGUGCCCAGCAAACCCAGGCCACACACAGAGAAAUCAGUGGGAGCGUUAUCAGGAUUUUCACCCUACAGGUGAAUCACGAAGUCCUGGUGGGAUUUCUCGACGCUGUUGGGUUUUCUGUGGCAUCCGCGUUUUCUGCCUCGGACACACGGUGGCGAUGGAAAUCACCUUUUCCUCCAGAGCUUCGGGCCUUGGAGUGCGAAGUAACCACACCUGAGUGUCCCAGAGCACGGGAGGAUGGAACAUUUCUGCACAAUCCCGAAAAACCGCUGACAUUUCAAGUGGCCGAGGCUCCAGAGAAUCCAGAAAACUUUCUCCUCAGCACUGAUAUUCUUUAAAUUAAGGUGUUUAUGUUUAAAACAAGAGCAAGCAAACGGAGCCUGGAGGGCCGGUGUGUCGGUAUUUCACGUUAAAGUCAAUCUGACCUUUGUGUUCCUUGGCUGCCAGGGCAGGAGUGGUGCCAGGCUGGCAGUGUCACCGACCCCUCACCCGGGGUGAUCUGUGCUGUGUUUGCACUGGGGGUGUCAGCAGAGCCUGCUCAGGAGAGGUGGAACCGGCCCCUGGCGUCACGAAACGUAAAAACAUUUCCCCUGUAUUUUUUGGAGCUUAUUAACUAAGGCUAAACUUCCUCUUUUUUUUUUCUUUUUUUUGAGAAAACAGAGUGGCAUGAGUUCAGUGUGCACAUGCUUGGAAGUCAUGGAGUGAGAGUAAAUAUAACCCCGUCCAGUUUUGGAGAAGGACAGGAAAAGGAUGUGCAGUUACCACUCCUCCUCCAAAGCAGAACGUGGUUAUGAUUCAAAAAUUUAAAAGAAAACUGUUGGAAAGUGUGUCUGAACCCUGUGAAACAAUUGAAACACAGAUUGUUCCUGCCUAGACUUGAAUCCCAGGAUCGUUUAGGUUGGAAAAGACCUCCCAGAUCAUCGAGUCCAACCUGGCACUGAGAGCACUGAGUGCCACAUGCAGGCCUUCCUUGGACAGCUCCAGGGAUGGGGACUCCACCACUGUUAAUAGUUUAAUUUAAUGGAAUCGUGGAAUCCCCUGCUUUGGAAGGGACCCACAAGGAUCAACCCUUACUUUCAGCUGAUCAUUCCAGGUGCCCUCAGCCUCUCCUCACAUGCCUUCCCCUCACCGUCUUCAUAGCCCAAAAAAAAGCUCCUUCCAAAUCCAUGCUGGAUUUUUAAGGUUAAUGUGUUUAACUUGCCCUUUUCCACGUGGCAUGAGCCUCUCUCUGCCCUUGAGUGGAAGCGUUGCUGCAGGAUUUCGGUGUAUGAAGCAAUCCCUCCCCCAGCAGUGUUUGGACAGCGUUUGUACCUGGAUGGAUGCGCUGGGCUGGGCAGACAGGCAGAGUGCAGGUGCAGGUUUUAGCACGCCUGGAGCUCUGGGAACAGCGGCCAGGAUGAACUCAGCACCUGUCGUAACCUCCUGGUUUGGUAAGUUCUGUAUAUAGUUAUUAUCGGUGAUUUGGGACCAGCCCCUCAGCAAGCCACGCACUCCCCCUCACUUCUGCAGGAGCUGGGAUUUAGCGCUGCAGAUGAUUAACUCACACCAAACCCCUUCUCUUUAGCUCCUUCAUGAAAUGCUUACUCAGAGGAAGAUUCUUUAUGUAAAAGGCACAUCUAUAUCUAUGUAUUUAUGAUUACACAGGUAUAAAUAAAAGUGUCUGUGCCCCCAGAUUUUCCAGAUUUAGGCCAAGUGGAUGCGAGAUUAUGGUCUGUUCCCCCAAUAAUUUUAUUAACUAUAAAGCCCCAAAUCGGAUUUUCUGGCUGGGUAAUUCUCGCCUGCAGUGGGCACCCAUCCCACCACGUGCUCCCAGGUCAGUGUGGUUUCCUGCAGGGUCUCACACCUCCUAUCCAGUGCCGUGGUGGAGAUUAUCUGUAGUUUGGAA